UAUCCCUGGAAUGUUCUACCUUCUCAGACUCAUACUGCCUUCCAACUCCUGUACCCCCCUGCUGCUUCCUGCCUCUGGAUCUGGGGGCUCCAGGGACCUCCUGUGGUGACGGGCUCAUAUUAGGCAAGGUGAUUUUAAAAAGCAGCGUGUCUAUUUUUGGAGAGAAGGGGCACUUGCUCUACCUGUUAGACAUACUAUAAGGCUAAAAGCAUAAUCGAUCCCUGGAAAAGAAGGAACCUCCAAACAGACCCCUGUGUGUCUGGGUUUUCACAUAAUAGCACUUCAGGGUGGCCAGGAGAGGCCCUGCCUCUGACGGGUCCAGACCCUCUUCCGUCCAGGGCAGUUAGGCCCCAUCUAAAUGCACGGGAAGGCCCACUUGUAAGCAAGUAACCAUGUGGGUACUUAAGGGCCAUGAAAAGAAGUUUUUGCAAAUCUCAUAUCUGGUAAGGAACCAAAAUCUACAAACAAGUCACUUCACAUCUACCACGAGAGCUUCACUCAAGGAAGGGCCUGGGGUUGGACUCAGAGGUAGAGCACCUGCUCAGCACCUGCAAGGCCCUGGGUUCCAUCCUCAGCACCACACAAAGAUAAAUAAGUAAAAUAAAGGUGUUGUGUUCAGUUACAACCAAAAAACAAGCAUUAAAAAAAAA
rnacentral:lncRNA from 1 species